GUCCUCGUAGCGCAAUUGGAUAGCGCGUCGCCCUGCGGAGGCGGAGGCUGGGAGUUCAAACCUCCCCGAGGACG
rnacentral:tRNA from 1 species